CCUUAUGGCGGGCCAUGCGGGCAGCCUUCGGGUUGGCCGGUUCCUUUGUCCCGGUAUUCCUACCCCGCAUAGCCCGCCUCCCUU
rnacentral:antisense_RNA from 1 species